ACCCCAUAAACAAAAAAUAGAAUCCUGAUGUAACCUACAUCUAACCACAUGGAAAACUCCCCCACACAUCCCCCUUCCAGGUGGCCACCAGUCAGGACUCCUGGGUUCAUCAGUCCCUUCCCUUUAAUUAUUUUUGCAUCGUUAAAGUGUGCUUGUGUGUGUAUUCAUAUGCAUCUAUCUUACAUUCUUUUAACUGCAUAAAAAGAAUUAUCAUGGUGUAUGUAACUCCCUGGGACUUGCUUUUUUUUUUUUUUAAUAUUGAUAAAAUUUAUAUUGUUGCUUGCUGUGGUUCAUUUGCUUCAACUAUUGUAUAUAAUUUUCCCUCCUAUGAAUAUCCGUUAUUUAUCCAAAACUUUGGGUUGUUAGGUUUGCUUUGGAGUAAUCUUAUGCAUGUUUCCUGUUGUACAUUUGCAGGAACUUGAGUAUACUCCCAAAAGUGGAAUUGCUGGGCUAUAGAAGAGUCUGAGAUGUUCUUUAGGAGAUCUUCCACCUGGGGCAAGUUUCCUUCUGCCAGAGGCAGAUCCUUCAGUGUGUGUCUGCUGGGAGCAAACGAGUUUUUGUCUAAAAAUGUCUAUUUCAACUCCACUCUGUAAAGAUGUCCUUAGUGGGUGUGAAUCUUUCCACACAUGGAAGAUAUAUCAUUGGACUGUCUUCAAGCUCCCAUUAUUGCCGAUGAGACAGCUGUUAGUCUGUUCCGCAGAAAGUAUUGUCUUUAAAAUUUAAAUUUAUUUUCUCUCUGAUUUAGUUUCAGCAGUUUCACUGUAUGGGUUUAGGCAUGGAAAUUAUCUAUUUGCUGCUCCCUCUCUCCCCCUGAACCCUUCCUAGAAGGGGCUGGCCCCCUCUCUGGAACGUGAUGUGCAUACGCACGCCUGGAGAACCUUCCCAAGGGUCUGUGGCUCUAGGGACUCACUCUGGGUCACCAGGUGGUCAGCAGCCUCUCCUGAGCGUUUGUCUUUUCCAGGUUUUGUCUCUUUAUCUGACCUAUGUUCAAUGGACAGAGUCUAAUAAACCUUCCCAUGGAAUUCUUGA